rnacentral:rRNA from 1 species
UACGUAGGGGGCUAGCGUUGUCCGGAAUCAUUGGGCGUAAAGCGCGCGUAGGCGGCCCGGUAAGUCCGCUCUGAAAGUCCAGGGCUCAACCCUGGAAAGCGGGUGGAUACUGCCGGGCUAGAAUCCGGAAGAGGCGAGUGGAAUUCCUGGUGUAGCGGUGGAAUGCGUAGAGAUCCGGAAGAACACCGGUGGCGAAGGCGGCCUGCUGGGCAGUUGCUGACACUGAGGCGCGACAGCGUGGGGAGCAAACAGG